UAACCUCCUGUAAUUGCCCGCUUUUAUUUGAAGGGUCGAUAAAGCAGCAACCUUUUUAGAAUUUGGACAGCUGACGUCUGGAUGGCCCCAUUUUAAAAAUUUUGUGUAUUUAUAGAAUUCAUCUUUUGUGAGACAUCUCUUAUGAACCCCAAUGAAAAAUCGCAGUGAUGGCAAAGCUCCGGUCAAAAAGCCUGGCUCGAGAAGGGCCCCACGUGCAGAAAGUCAAGAUGAAACAUCUCUCGGGUCUGCAGCGAUAAGGCACAGUGGCUACAUCUCGACUUUUAUCCUUUUAAUAUCAACUUUAUUAAUUUAUGAUUUAAUUGUGUCGACAAGUGAGAAUGUAGACUUUGAAGCCCUUAAAGCUGAUCUUAGGACGAGUGUUUAUAACCAAAGCGACUCAGUUCGUGUGAUAACGGAACGUUUGGACCAGAUCCAGAAGCAAGAUCAUGCCGUGGAUGUGAUUUGUUUUAUUGGAAGUACAGGUGUUGGUAAAACUUUCACUGCCAACAUUCUCAAAAAACAUUUUAGCCCAUUUACAUACGAAUUAAGGACCCCUUUACGCAACGAAGAGAUAUUUAGUACAAUCAAACGCAAUUAUUUCAAACACAAUUUGUUAAUAAUCGAUGACUUAACAUUAGAGGAUGUAGAUAACUUAGUUUUGUUUGUAAAAAGUGUCCCACAAGAUGUGCGUGUUCUUGUGGUCUGUAUUUUUAAUAUUCAAGAGACUGAUAGUUUGUUAAAUCAUAGGAUUAGUUACGAUCACGUUGAUAAAAUAGUGGACAAAUUGAAUUUAGCCGAGAUUUCUUACACAGCGGCUAAAUUUCAUGAGUUUACUGAAGACCAAGUCAGAGGUUGGGUGUUAAAACAGUUAGAAAUAAAGGGAGUUGACAAACAGUUUCACUCCAAAAUCGUCCAAACUGUGGUGGGCAACCAAAAUGUUAGGUACAACGGUUUAAAGGGUUUAAAUUCAAAGAUAUUGUUAGAACUGUGAUAAUGUGCCUUGCCCCAUUUUAGUGUUUUUGUCCAUUUUGAAAUAAACUAUGCGAAAUUUUAA